rnacentral:rRNA from 1 species
AGAGUUUGAUCCUGGCUCAGGAUGAACGCUAGCGGCAGGCCUAAUACAUGCAAGUCGUACGGGAUCCCCUCCCUCGGGAGGGGUGAGAGUGGCGGACGGGUGCGUUACGCGUAUGCAACCAACCCCCGACGGGCGUACAGCCGGUGGAAACGCCGGGUGAUGCGCCAUGCGGCCGGGAGAGGGCAUCCUCUUUCGGCGAAAGCCCUAGGGCGGUCGGGGACGGGCAUGCGUGCCAUUAGCUAGUUGGCGGGGCGACGGCCCACCAAGGCUACGAUGGCUAGGGGGAUCUGAGAGGACGGUCCCCCCACACUGGUACUGAGACACGGCCCAAACUCCUACGGGAGGCAGCAGUGAGGAAUAUUGGACAAUGGCCGGAAGGCUGAUCCAGCCAUGCCGCGUGAAGGAUAAGGUCCUAUGGAUUGUAAACUUCUUUUGAGUGGGAGCAAUAAGGUGUACGUGUACACCGAUGAGAGUACCAUUCGAAUAAGCAUCGGCUAACUCCGUGCC